GUGAGGAAUAUUGGUCAAUGGGCGGAAGCCUGAACCAGCCAUCCCGCGUGAAGGAAGGCGGCCCUAUGGGUUGUAAACUUCUUUAGUACAUGAAGAACAGGAUCUACGCGUAGGUUUAUGACGGUAAUGUACAAAAAAGCAUCGGCUAACUCCGUGCCAGCAGCCGCGGUAAUACGGAGGAUGCGAGCGUUAUCCGGAUUCAUUGGGUUUAAAGGGUACGUAGGUGGCCCUGUAAGUCAGUGGUGAAAAUCUGCCGCUUAACGGUAGGGGUGCCAAUGAUACUGCGGGGCUUGAGUACAGUUGAGGUAGGUGGAAUGUGUAGUGUAGCGGUGAAAUGCAUAGAUAUUACACAGAACUCCGAUUGCGAAGGCAUCUUACUAAGCUGAAACUGACACUGAUGUACGAAAGCGUGGGGAUCGAACAGGAUUAGAAACCCCAGUAGUCC
rnacentral:rRNA from 1 species